rnacentral:rRNA from 1 species
CCCUUAGAUGUCCUGGGCCGCACGCGUGCUACACUGACGCCUACAGCGAGUACUUCCCAGCCCCGAGAGGUGGCUGGUAAUCAGCAAUAGGCGUCGUGAUGGGGAUAGAUCUUUGGAAUUAUGGAUCUUGUACGAGGAAUGCCUAGUAAGCGCAGGUCAUUAGCCUGCGCUGAUUAAGUCCCUGCCCUUUGUACACACCGCCCGUCGCUCCUACCGAUUUCGAGUGGUCCGGUGAAUCUUUCGGACUGCGCGCGGCCUCGUGCCGUGUCGCGGAAAGUCAGGUAAACCUUAUCACUUAGAGGAAGGAGAAGUCGUAACA